CAAUAAGAAGUGCAACGCCCAUUUGGAGCGUCGUUUCCAAGGCCCCAUUAGCAGAUGAAAGGGUUCCGUACUGCGGUGCCUCAAUUGGUUAUGGAGAAACGCGCCUCAGAAGCUCGGCCUACAUGUGGAGCGCUUGCAAACUAGGCGCAGCUGUUGUACCAACGUCCCCUUCGCGGGGAAGGCUUCGCCCCAGCGGGGGAAUUCUGCCCGACUUAACGCAGGGAUUUGGGAUGCCGCGCCUGCACCCACCUGGCCGUACGCUGUUGCAUUGCAGCCCCAAUCCCCGUUUGCUGUCAAUGUCAACCUAAACUGGCCAAUGGCGCGCUUGUCCUACGGCUGAGAAAACUUGGCGGGCUUAAUUGCGUCUGUGGCUGUCAACGAGCAAGGCCGAGCAGGCCCGAAGGCGCACACGUGGCCAAGGACCGACGCGCCAACGCCGUGCGAGCGAGUGAGCGGCGAUAGAGCAGGUGAGAAAUUAAAAAAAAAUUAUUCCAC
rnacentral:lncRNA from 1 species